rnacentral:rRNA from 1 species
GGCUCCCUACGGGGGGCAGCAGUGGGGAAUAUUGGGCAAUGGGCGCAAGCCUGACCCAGCAACGCCGCGUGAAGGAAGAAGGCUUUCGGGUUGUAAACUUCUUUUCUCAGGGACGAAGCAAGUGACGGUACCUGAGGAAUAAGCCACGGCUAACUACGUGCCAGCAGCCGCGGUAAUACGUAGGUGGCAAGCGUUAUCCGGAUUUACUGGGUGUAAAGGGCGUGUAGGCGGGAAAGCAAGUCAGAUGUGAAAACCACGGGCUCAACCUGUGGCCUGCAUUUGACACUGUUCUUCUUUA